rnacentral:tRNA from 1 species
GGGCCGGUGGUCUAAUGGCAUGACGCCUCCCUUGCACGGAGGAGGCUCCGAGUUCAAAUCUCGGCCGGUCCA